rnacentral:rRNA from 1 species
UACGAAGGGGGCUAGCGUUGUUCGGAAUUACUGGACGUAAAGCGCAUGUAGGCGGAUAUUCAAGUCAGGGGUGAAAUCCCGCAGCUCAACUGCGGAACUGCCUUUGUUACUGGGUAUCUUGAGUAUGGAAGAGGUGAGUGGAAUUCCGAGUGUAGAGGUGAAAUUCGUAGAUAUUCGGAGGAACACCAGUGGCGAAGGCGGCUCACUGGUCCAUUACUGACGCUGAGGUGCGAAAGCGUGGGGAGCAAACAGG